rnacentral:rRNA from 1 species
UACGUAGGGCGCAAGCGUUAUCCGGAAUUAUUGGGCGUAAAGAGCUCGUAGGCGGUGUGUCGCGUCGGCCGUGAAAACCUGCAGCUUAACUGUGGCGUGCGGUCGAUACGGGCAUCACUGGAGUUCGGCAGGGGAGACUGGAAUUCCUGGUGAUAGCGGUGAAAUGCGCAGAUAUCAGGAGGAACACCGGUGGCGAAGGCGGGUCUCUGGGCCGAUAACUGACGCUGGAGGAAGCGAAAGCAUGGGUAGCGAACAGG